AAUAAAGUGCCUGAUAAAAGGGUUACCUUGAUAAAGUAAACCAUGUGACACCCACCUUUAUUA
rnacentral:tRNA from 1 species